rnacentral:rRNA from 1 species
GUGAGAACUCCUGGAAUGGAUUCUCGCCGAAAGGACGUCUAGACCAUGCUUCUAAGCGUCGCCCAAGGAGGGGGCCGCGGCCGAUCAGGCUGUUGGCGAGGUAACGGCUCACCAAACCUUUAACCGGUACGGGCCGUGAGAGCGGGAGCCCGGAGAUGGGCACUGAGAUAAGGGCCCAGGCCCUACGGGGCGCAGCAGUCGCGAAAACUCCGCAAUACACGAAAGUGUGACGGGGCUAUCCCGAGUGCCGUCCGCUGAGGAUGGCUUUUCCCUAGUGUAUAAAGCUGGGGGAAUAAGGAGAGGGCAAGACUGGUGUCAGCCGCCGCGGUAAUACCAGCUCUCCGAGUGGUGGGGACGCUUAUUGGGCCUAAAGCAUUCGUAGCCUGCUGGGCAAGUCCUCCGUUAAAUCCAACGAUUCAAUCGUUGGGCUGCGGGGGAUACUGUCCGGCUAGGGGGCGGGAGAGGCCGACGGUAUUCUCGGGGUAGGGGUGAAAUCCUAUAAUCCCGGGAGGACCACCAGUGGCGAAGGCUGUCGGCUAGAACGCGCCCGACGGUGAGGGAUGAAAGCUGGGGGAGCGAACCGGAUUAGAUACCCGGGUAGUCCCAGCUGUAAACGAUGCAGGCUAGGUGUUGGCGCGGCUACGUGCCACCCCAGUGCCGCAGGGAAGCCGUUAAGCCUGCCGCCUGGGAAGUACGGCCGCAAGGCUGAAACUUAAG